ensembl:miRNA Gm54433 predicted gene, 23394
CCAUCACCACACGACUCGGUUUUGGCCUCCGCGGGGUUGAAGCUGCUAGAGACGCUUCAACCUUAAGGGGGCCUCAGGGAGAGAGGAGUGG